rnacentral:rRNA from 1 species
GAUAACAGGCUGAUCUUCCCCAAGAGUCCACAUCGACGGGAAGGUUUGGCACCUCGAUGUCGGCUCUUCGCCACCUGGAGCUGUAGAUGGUUCCAAGGGUUGGGCUGUUCGCCCAUUAAUGUGGUACGUGAGCUGGGUUCAGAACGUCGUGAGACAGUUC